GUAUCUUCUUCGGAUUAACUGAAACAAUGGGGGUCAAAGAGAAAUUGGCAAAUGUUAAGCACAUGAAGAAAAAAAGGGACGCAUCAGAGAGAAAUGACACACACAGGGAAAUAAGCAAAGACAGACCAUACGGAAAAACUUGGCCACAGCUUCCUUGUCAUAUCUUGCUUCUUUGGCAGCCUGCAAUUUGAAUAGAAAGUAAUCACAGAUCUCGUAAACUUGUAAACAUCGAAUAUUAGCUAAUGGUGGCAACCUAAAGAGGGUCAACGAACAAGCUUAAGGGAGCAUUGAAAGGUUCGUGCAAAGCAAUCCAAGUCAAAUCAGGAAAGAAGACUUACUGCAAGGAGCCCUGCACUGCCU
rnacentral:lncRNA from 1 species